UGGGGUGUGGCCAAGUGGUAAGRCAACAGUUUUUGGUACUGAAGAUCGUAGGUUCGAAUCCUACCACCCCAGCCA
rnacentral:tRNA from 1 species